UUUGGUGGCAUGAGCGAAGGGGCCACACCCGUUCCCAUCCCGAACACGGAAGUUAAGCCCUUCAGCGCCGAUGAUAGCCGCAAGGCAAAAGUAGGCCGCCGCCAAAA
rnacentral:rRNA from 1 species